AUUCCAGCUCCAAUAGCGUAUAUUAAAGUUGUUGCAGUUAAAAAGCUCGUAGUUGGAUUUCUGAUUGAGACAUCAGGUCGGGUCCGAGAGGAUCAUGUACUUUGAUUUGUUUUGAUCAUCCUUGGGGAGAGCAAUUCUGGCAUUAAGUUGUCGGGGUUGGGAUCCUCAUCGUUUACUGUGAAAAAAUUAGAGUGUUCAAAGCAGGCCUCGGCCUCUGAAUACAUUAGCAUGGAAUAAUAAGAUAGGACUUUGGAGGUCUAUUUUGUUGGUUUGCACGCCAAAGUAAUGAUUAAUAGGGAUAGUUGGGGGUAUUCGUAUUCAAUUGUCAGAGGUGAAAUUCUUGGAUUUAUGGAAGACGAACUACUGCGAAAGCAUUUACCAAGGAUGUUUUCAUUA
rnacentral:rRNA from 1 species